CCUACGGGAGGCUGCAGUGGGGAAUAUUGCACAAUGGGGGAAACCCUGAUGCAGCGACGCCGCGUGAGUGAAGAAGUAGUUCGGUAUGUAAAGCUCUAUCAGCCGGGAAGAAAUAAAGUCCUUCAGACUUUGGACGGUACCUGACUAAGAAGCCCCGGCUAACUACGUGCCAGCAGCCGCGGUAAUACGUAGGGGGCAAGCGUUAUCCGGAUUUACUGGGUGUAAAGGGAGCGUAGACGGCAGCGCAAGUCUGGAGUGAAAUCCCAUGGCUUAACCAUGGAACUGCUUUGGAAACUGUGCAGCUGGAGUGCAGGAGAGGUAAGCGGAAUUCCUAGUGUAGCGGUGAAAUGCGUAGAUAUUAGGAGGAACACCAGUGGCGAAGGCGGCUUACUGGACUGUAACUGACGUUGAGGCUCGAAAGCGUGGGGAGCAAACAGGAUUAGAUACCCUUGUAGUC
rnacentral:rRNA from 1 species